UACAGAGGAUGCAAGCGUUAUCCGGAAUGAUUGGGCGUAAAGCGUCUGUAGGUGGCUUUUUAAGUCCGCCGUCAAAUCCCAGGGCUCAACUCUGGACAGGCGGUGGAAACUACCAAGCUGGAGUACGGUAGGGGCAGAGGGAAUUUACGGUGUAGCGGUGAAAUGCGUAGAUAUCGUAAGGAAGACCAGUGGCGAAGGCGGGUCUCUGGACAGUUCCUGACGCUGAGGCACGAAGGCCAGGGGAGCAAACGGG
rnacentral:rRNA from 1 species